UACGUAGGGUGCGAGCGUUAAUCGGAAUUACUGGGCGUAAAGCGUGCGCAGGCGGCUUUGCAAGACAGAUGUGAAAUCCCCGGGCUUAACCUGGGAACUGCAUUUGUGACUGCAUGGCUGGAGUGCGGCAGAGGGGGAUGGAAUUCCGCGUGUAGCAGUGAAAUGCGUAGAUAUCAGGAGGAACACCAGCGGCGAAGGCGGCGCUCUGGGCCGGAACUGACGCUGAGGAGCGAAAGCGUGGGUAGCAAACAGG
rnacentral:rRNA from 1 species